ensembl:lncRNA
GCACAGCAUGCAGGUAGUUUGCUGCAAAAUCUUGAGCUGGAAACCAAGGAACUGGGUGCUGAAGCAUCUCUGGGGACUCUGACCUCUCUUGCCACCAUCUGCAAGGCUUUGAACAUAUCCUAAAGUGAAGCUAUGAGGACCGGCAAUGGAGAAGAAGGCAUGUUGUAGGAAAGAUCCUGGAACAUGCAAACCCUUGCUCCGUGCCAGAGAUCUCCGCUAGACUUUGUGCCUUCUCCAGUUCCUUCUUGAGAGCCCAGCACUGCACAUCUCUGAAGUUACGUGAGCACCUAACCAUGACAAUACACACAUAUAAGGAUUUUUUCAGAAGCGCCAAUUCUUCUAAUAGGCUUUAAAUCAGUGGAAGUUAGACAUUGGAAAUGUCACUCACUGUUUAUCUGCAACUAUAAAUAUUUUCAAAUCUGUGGUUAAACCAUUUAUAUUUGUGAU